CUUGUGUGCAGCAAUAUGUCUCAAAACAGUCUAUUCAUGGACCGUAAAGCCUUUUGUUGAGAACUUCAACUCCCAACAUCCUCUUUGAGCCAUUGUGGAGUUGAGAUUGGGUUCUCCCGAAAUACCAGUUUUACUACUAAAGAGACAAUUUAGCAAUGAAUAAACCACAUUCAUUUAGAGAGAAUGGAUUCUAAUUAUAGGGAACAUCAGAAAGCUUUCCUGUAACAGAGCAAUAGUGUUCCAAGUGACACAGUCUACCAUUGAGUAUGUCUCAUGCCUAAUGAAUCAGAAAGCCUUCCAGGGAGAGAAACUGUUUUCUGCUGGUUAGGGAGGGGGGUCCUUCAUAAUAAGAAACACUGCUUUCUAAUUAGUAUUAUAGGCUUUUAAUGAGCAAAGCUAAAAGUCUUAUAAUUAAGACUGAACCAAAUGAUCAUGUUUUCUAGGUAUCAUUGUUACGGCAUGUGGUUCUUAUACAAUUAAGGAUGAUUUACCCUUGCAGGGAGACAAUUCAGUGACAAUAACCUCAUUGGAUCAUCCACCUUUCUCCCCCAAAUCAUUGUUUACUUUAGAAUUUUGAAAACCUCCCUCAUCUGGAUCAUCAACAACUUUCGGAGUGAUUCUCAUCUCUGGUACCUGAGCACCAUCCCUUCCCCCCUUCCACAGACAACGCAGGCUUUUGUCCUGAGGGCAGGCCGCUUGCAUAUAGACCUUCCAUUGUCCUGCCUUAUUGGCGUAGCCUUGCUAGGCCGAAAGCCUGCACAAUGAAAUCUUACAUACAGUAAAAAGGGGACAUUAAAAAACUCUUCACAAUAACUCUUGUGUUUAAAAAAAAAAGGAGCAAUGAAAGUUUGAUAAGGGAUACAAACCCCCCCUUCCUCUCCUCCCUCUCCGGGAUUGAAAACACAGAAUAUCUUUCUAGGCCAGGCUCAUGGGGCUUUUUUUUCUUGAUUUUCGGCUUGUCUUUGUGUGUACGCUCUUUGUUCAUUCCAGGUGAACCGAAAUCAUGUGAUAUGAAAGGGGACAGAGCGGGUUAUUAUAAAGGGUUUUUGGGCUCUGCCGAGGGCUGUCAGUGAGAAGAUGCGAGCUUGGGGGAAGCAUAGAUAUCUGCCUGCGGGGCUGUAUCAUCAGCCUUCUCUUGGCAUCACCCUGGUAUCCCUGUGAAUGACAGAUAGACACACACCCAUGUAUCGUAUGGGAUAGACAAGUCUGCUUAUACCCGGAGAUCCUAAAAUAUCUACUUGGAUUAUAAUAUGGAGCGUGCUGUAAGAAGACGGCUGCACUUCUUACAUCUCUGAAGAUUAUAUAACGGUUGAUGGAAAGGAAUACAUCAAUAUAUGGAGAUAUGUAUGUAUUGUAAGUUGACUUUACAUAUCCAGUGACCAAACCUGGCCAUGCUCUAGUCAUAGAUAGAACAGUUGAAUAUGUCACAGAAGACACAACAGAAGAUAAAUCCAUGCCAUUCUGAUUCUUUGUUGUCUUGGACAGAUGAAUGAACCUUCCUCCAUCUUUCAAAGGGCACUGGCUGGAUUCUUCUUGGGGUUCAUAUGGAUCACUGUUUCGAUAAAGGCAUUCACCAUGGACCUUACCAUAUAGGACUUUGUAAAUCCUGCCCCAUCUCCUGAAAAAACAUAUUUCAGGAUAAACCCUGUGAGAUGGAGUUGUACAUUCUGAUUUUAAUAAAGAGAUGCUGAUAGAUCAAA